rnacentral:misc_RNA from 1 species
UUUCCGUAGGUGAACCUGCGGAAGGAUCAUUAUUGUAUAACCGAGGUGCGAGGGCUGUCGCUGACCCGAAAGGUCGUGCACGCCCGAGUGCCCUCACACACAUCCAUCUCACCCCUAUGUGCACCACCGCGUGGGUCCCCCUCGGCUUGUUCGGAGGGGGGCUUACGUUUUUACACAAACUUUGUAUGCAGUGUGGAAUGUAUUUUUUGUUUUUGCGAUCACGCAAUCAAUACAACUUUCAACAACGGAUCUCUUGGCUCUC